UACGUAGGGGGCAAGCGUUAUCCGGAUUCAUUGGGCGUAAAGCGCGCGUAGGCGGCCCGUUAAGUCGGAUGUGAAAACCGGAGGCUUAACCUCCGGCCUGCAUCUGAAACUGGCGGGCUUGAGUCUGGUAGAGGAAAGUGGAAUUCCCAGUGUAGCGGUGAAAUGCGCAGAUAUUGGGAGGAACACCAGUGGCGAAGGCGGCUUUCUGGGCCACGACUGACGCUGAGGCGCGAAAGCUAGGGGAGCGAACAGG
rnacentral:rRNA from 1 species